rnacentral:rRNA from 1 species
UACGGAGGGGGCUAGCGUUGUUCGGAAUUACUGGGCGUAAAGCGCACGUAGGCGGACUGGAAAGUCAGAGGUGAAAUCCCAGGGCUCAACCUUGGAACUGCCUUUGAAACUGGAAGACUUGAACACGGGAGAGGUGAGUGGAAUUCCGAGUGUAGAGGUGAAAUUCGUAGAUAUUCGGAGGAACACCAGUGGCGAAGGCGGCUCACUGGCACGAUACUGACGCUGAGGUGCGAAAGCGUGGGGAGCAAACAGG